rnacentral:lncRNA from 1 species
CCUCCAGUUACUACUCUGAGAGCUGUACAGGUUUAGUCUGUCUCCAGUCAGAUCGCAUAGUGUCAGCAUGUCUGACUGCAGAAAGCUGCAUACCCAUCCUUGAUCCAGGUCAGUUCCUGCGCCCCAUGUCAUUAGGAGCUAUCUGAUCCUUCCAGGUGACCAAGAGCAAAGCGUCCAUUCCUGUCCUGUGGCCUCUGGUUCAUGUAGGGGCUUCCUAUGUCACCCGGUCACCAGCACUGAGGGCAAUUUCUGGGCUGCCCCUCAGCCCUACAGUGUGUUCUGCCAGAUUCUGGAACUAGAACGAAAGUUACAGGACCUACAGAUACAAGAAAAGGGAUUGUGCAGAAUAACAAAUGAUAACAUUCCAGUGUGUGUUAGUGCUCCAGCAGCUUCAAGAAGUGAAUGAAGUGAUUCUCCAAGAAAGCACAAGGUCUCAUGAAGAAAAGUGUUCUCAAGGCCAAUCAGCUCAGACUGAAUAAGGUUAUAUUUCCAGAGAACCUGUUGCAACACGGAGUACAGAGACCGCUGUCACUUUGGACUCACCAGGUUAUACUUCCAGAGAAUCUGUUGCAAAACAGCGUACAGAGACCGCUGUCACUUGGGAUUCACCAGGUAAGUUACCAACCAAAGGAGAUGGGUAAUAGAUUUCCAGCCAUUAGCAUCAUAUCUGUGUAUUUAAUAAGCACCUAUCUGUGUGAUAUUCUAUGAUACAUGAGUCAAAUUAAAGCAACAACACUGAAAAGAAACAUUGCCAGGUUACCUCUGGCUCUUGGAAUUGGGGUAAUUUUUUUCUGCUAUUUCAGUUCAGUUCAUUUCAGUCAUUCAGUUGUGUCCAACUCUUUGCGACCCCAUGAAUUGCAGCACGCCAGGCCUCCCUGUCCAUCACCAACUCCCGGAGUUCACCCAGACUCACAUCCAUCGAGUCAGUGAUGCCAUCCAGCCAUCUCAUCCUCUGUCGUCCCCUUCUUCUCCUGCCCCCAAUCCCUCCCAGCAUCAGAGUCUUUUCCAAUGAGUCAACUCUUCACAUGAGGUGGCCAAAGUACUGGAGUUUCAGCUUUAGCAUCAUUCCUUCCAAAGAAAUCCCAGGGCUGAUCUCCUUGAGAAUGGACUGGUUGGAUGGUUCGCUGAAAAAUUCCUUUGUUCAUAAGAUGUCAUGGAAAUAUCGGAACAAACUUUUCACCUGACCCUGCACUAGGGGAUAAAGUGUGUAAUGGUUAAAGCACAGAUAUGAAAGUUUCAAACCUGGCUUCACAUCUGAAAACCAGGGCGCAUUAAGGCAAGUUCCUUUCCCUCCCUCAGCCUCACUGUUCUUAUCUAAGAAAUACAGCCAAUAUUGGUACCUGCCUACUGCUGUCAACGAGUAGUCGCCUAAGGACUAAACAAAGUCAUUACCGUAAUGUCCUUACUCCAGCGUCUGGCAGUAGUGAAGAGGUAU